CCUACGGGUGGCAGCAGUGGGGGAUAUUGCACAAUGGGGGGAACCCUGAUGCAGCGACGCCGCGUGGGUGAAGAAGCGCCUCGGCGCGUAAAGCCCUGUCAGCAGGGAAGAAAAUGACGGUACCUGAAGAAGAAGCCCCGGCUAACUACGUGCCAGCAGCCGCGGUAAUACGUAGGGGGCAAGCGUUAUCCGGAUUUACUGGGUGUAAAGGGGGCGAAGACGGCGAUGCAAGCCAGGAGUGAAAGCCCGGGGGCCAACCCCGGGACUGCUCUUGGAACUGCGUGGCUGGAGUGCAGGAGGGGCUGGCGGAAUUCCUGGUGUAGCGGUGAAAUGCGUAGAUAUCAGGAGGAACACCGGUGGCGAAGGCGGCCUGCUGGACUGCAACUGACGUUGAGGCCCGAAAGCGUGGGGAGCAAACAGGAUUAGAUACCCUUGUAGUC
rnacentral:rRNA from 1 species